rnacentral:rRNA from 1 species
AGCUCCAAUAGCGUAUAUUAAAGUUGUUGCAGUUAAAACGCUCGUAGUCGGAUUUCGGGGCGGGGCCGCCGGUCUGCCGAUGGGUAUGCACUGGCGGUCGCGUCCUUCCUUCCGGAGACUGGCCCUACUCUUAACUGAGCGGGGUCGGGAGACGGAUCGUUUACUUUGAAAAAAUCAGAGUGUUUCAAGCAGGCAGCUCGCUCUUGCAUGGAUUAGCAUGGGAUAAUGAAAUAGGACUUUGGUGCUAUUUUGUUGGUUUCGAACACCGAAGUAAUGAUUAACAGGGACAGUCAGGGGCACUCGUAUUCCGCCGAGAGAGGUGAAAUUCUCAGACCAGCGGAAGACGAACCACUGCGAAAGCAUUUGCCAGGGAUGUUUUCACUG